UACGAAGGGGGCUAGCGUUGCUCGGAAUCACUGGGCGUAAAGAGCGUGUAGGCGGUCCGGUAAGUCCGCUGUGAAAGUCGGGGGCUCAACCCUCGAAUGCCGGUGGAUACUGUCGGGCUAGAGUACGGAAGAGGCGAGUGGAAUUCCUGGUGUAGCGGUGAAAUGCGCAGAUAUCAGGAGGAACACCUAUUGCGAAGGCAGCUCGCUGGGACGUAACUGACGCUGAGACGCGAAAGCGUGGGGAGCAAACAGG
rnacentral:rRNA from 1 species